rnacentral:lncRNA from 1 species
UGUUGUCCAGCUUCCUCCUACAGUCCAAAGAUAAACCUUAGCUCAUUCUGAAUGUGAUGGUCACAAGUUUACAGAAGAUAGACUAGAGAUCAGAGCUGCUGUGAGCAGUCACACUAUCAGUGAAGAUCAAACUGAAGAUCUACAAAAAUAGUGGUGAAAUCAGUCCACUUUAACGUCCAGAGAAACAAUGACAUUGGUUUAAAAUCCACAUUCCCACUCUGUAGCCAGACUGUCAGAGUUUGACCUCGUAUCCCUUAAAAGGCCGCAGCUUCAGUGUGCUAUGAUUGACUGGAUUCUAGGCGCUGCAGUCCGGUACCUGUAACAUGAGCGUCUCCCGUCGUUGACCCUGUGAUGAACUGGCAGCUUGUCCUGGGAGCCGUCAGUGUGGCAUUCAAAAGGUUUUUUUAAAAACAUGUCUUGUAAAUCCA